CUACGGACUUAGCUAACUGAGCCUUGAUAGAGAAAUCUUUCAAGUGUCAGCUCUCAAACUCAGGGAAACCUACAUCUUGUAAAAGACAUGGCAAUCCUGAGCCAAGCCCGAAAAAUUGAGACAUUUAAGUUUUGAUUACACUUGAAUCAAAAUUUUAAAAUCUCAAGUUACGGGAAGGUGCAGAGACUCGACGGGAGCUACCCUAACGUAAAGACGAGGGUAAAGGGAGAGUCCAAUUCUCAAAACCAAGAG
rnacentral:ncRNA from 1 species